GCUGAGGUGGCAGAUUUAUGUGUUGGAUUUAGGGUCUAAAGAAGAGUAUUCCUCUCUCGGCA
rnacentral:tRNA from 1 species